rnacentral:rRNA from 1 species
UACGUAGGGUGCGAGCGUUAAUCGGAAUUACUGGGCGUAAAGCGCACGUAGGCGGCUUUGUAAGUUAGAGGUGAAAGCCCAGGGCUUAACCCUGGAAUUGCCUUUAAGACUGCAUCGCUAGAAUCGUGGAGAGGUGAGUGGAAUUCCGAGUGUAGAGGUGAAAUUCGUAGAUAUUCGGAAGAACACCAGUGGCGAAGGCGACUCACUGGACACGUAUUGACGCUGAGGUGCGAAAGCGUGGGGAGCAAACAGG